rnacentral:rRNA from 1 species
GUGAGGAAUAUUGGACAAUGGGCGCAAGCCUGAUCCAGCCAUGCCGCGUGCAGGAAGAAGCAUCUAUGGUGUGUAAACUGCUUUUGUACGGGAAGAAACACUCCUUCGUGAAGGAGCUUGACGGUACCGUAAGAAUAAGGAUCGGCUAACUCCGUGCCAGCAGCCGCGGUAAUACGGAGGAUCCAAGCGUUAUCCGGAAUCAUUGGGUUUAAAGGGUCCGUAGGCGGUUUGGUAAGUCAGUGGUGAAAGCCCGCAGCUCAACUGUGGAACGGCCAUUGAUACUGCCAGACUUGAAUUACAAGGAAGUAACUAGAAUAUGUAGUGUAGCGGUGAAAUGCUUAGAUAUUACAUGGAAUACCAAUUGCGAAGGCAGGUUACUACUUGUGGAUUGACGCUGAUGGACGAAAGCGUGGGGAGCGAACAGGAUUAGAAACCCUAGUAGUCC